rnacentral:lncRNA from 1 species
CUGGUUGUCUGUUGAGCAGUCAGAGGCUUGCUCUCCCUCCCAUGGCUCACUGCAAAGACUUUGAAGUAAUAGGUGACCCCAGGGGACAGCCCGGUGACUUCUGCAAAGGUGUUCCUGCUGAUGGGCAGCCUCUGCCCGUGCUCGCCAGGCAGGUUGACGGGGAUCACAUCCACACGGUAGCCGGUCACUGCACUCUCAGGCGGUGUCCACAUGAUGGUGACCUUCACGUCUGUCACUUCCACAAACUGCAGGUCCCUGGGAGAGGGCACUUUACCUGAGCGUGGGGUGCCAGUGGUUUCUUGUUGAAUGACAACAGGUGUACUUUCUUGAUUUUCUUCCACAGCAUAGAUAGUGAUGUUAUACUGAACACCAGGUUGCAAGUCACUGAGGGUGACGGAGUUUGCAGUUUCAGGAAGGUUGAGUUCUGUGCUGCUACCUUCUACUGAUGGCGAAUAGACUAUUCUGUACC